UUCGGACCAGGCACCAAGCUGACUGUGACAAGCUCCAGCGUCCCUCCUCCUGUCCUGACAGUCUUCCCUCCGUCCGCUGCUGAGCUCCAGUCCAACAAAGCCACUCUGGUCUGUCUGUCCAGUCAGUCUGUGGCUUUUGCACAUGUGACCUGGUUGGCUGCUGGGAGUCCGCUGAGCACUGGGAUCUCUACCAGCACCGCUGUUCAGCAACCAGACCAGACUUUCCAAAUCAGCAGCUACCUGUCCAUCCAGACGUCAGACUGGAACACGGAUCAGGUUUACACAUGUCAAGUGUCUGUGGGCUCCCAGACUUCCGAGAAAAACAUCAACAAGUCAGCGUGUCCCACUGAGCAACAGUAGAGGAGCACAAUGACCAUCUGAAACCUGCGUCUGCACCGUCUGUGCUCUGUGCUCUGUACAAGGUUUACAUGAUACACAACAUGUGUCUGCAUGUUUGGAACAAAUGCUGGAACAGUUUCAUUUAGAUGUUGUAUCAGCUUUGCAAUCGCUACAUUUUCAAUCCAAUAAAAUCUCUGUGAUCAAAAAAUGUUUUGAGUUUCUAUUUGAUAAAGUGAAUAAAUGGACUCCAUCUCAUUUCCUAAAAUGUAAAUAAUCCAAUAAAAGAUGAAUUA